GUGUUUGUUUGUGUGUACUGAGCAGUUUUCUCAUAUUAUGAAAUUGAAGGCACUCAGUAUACGAUGUCUUUAUAUUGCUGGGAUAUCCAUGCAAUCUCCAAAUUUGGUUAUCAUCUCAACCAUCAUCAGAAAAAGUAAUGGAUGCCUGUUGUGAGGUGCUACUUUCUAUAAACCUGCUUGCCUCUCUGCUCUUGGCUGCCUCUGUUCAUUGAACAGCAAUUCCUUGUUGUAGUUUUUAUUUUGUUUUAUUUAUUUAUUCACUUUAUAUCCCAACCACAGCCCCUUCCUCCUCUCUCCCAAGUCUCACUCUUCCAUCUCUUCUUAUAUCCCCUCCCCCCCUCAGAGAAGCAGACUCCCCUACCCCUUCCCACAGAUCAACCUGCUCUGACACAUCAAGUCUCAUCAGGACUUAGUGCAUCUUCUCCUAUUAAGGCCAGACUAGGCAUGCCAGCUGGGGAAAGGGAUCCAAAGGCAGGCAACAGAGGUCAAGUUAGCAAUUGUUUUAGCUCUCACUUAACUAUCUAAAAGAGAAUACUAUUAUUUCAAUUUGAACAACAGCAAGCCUGUUGCAUGGGGACCAUUGGAUUACUUCUGAAACAUUCCCUAGGACAAUUAGCCAAUACUAGAGAUGGUUCUAUAAUAUUUGGGUGAAGUUUUAUGCUUAAGAAAUCUCUAUGGCUGCUAACUAUAACAUGGGGUGACCAUGAUUGUGGAAAGGUCUUUGUUUCUUUUCUCUGUUACAGAAAAACAAACUUUUAUUAAGAACAAUAAUUAAAGGACCCUUGCAGAAUUAUGAGGAGAAUUGUUAGCCAAAUGUUAUAUAGUUCUUGCACCAAUACUUAUAAGAUAUCAUGCUUUAAGAACUUGGUUGCCAUUUUUGUCAUUAAACCAUUCUAUUUUCCCUGAUCCUAGUCACGUACAAACAUGCACACAUCCUUUGCUGCUUAAUAGGCUACCAGAAUGAGUUCUUAAUUUUUGACUCAGAAGCCAGUGAUAAGAACUUUGAACAAUGAACACAUAUAGUUCUAUUUUCAGUGUUUUGUUGAAUAUAAUUCCAUCAUAUUUCAGUUAAGAGGUUGAUAGCUCACAAAGUCCACUCUCAAGAUUAAAACUAUUCAAACAUCCCUUAGGGUGUUCAUUGUGCUAGCAGAACAAAAUAUUUUGAUCUGUACAAUGCCAUUCCUAUAACUGAUUCCUUGGCUACUCUGUUGAAUUCCAUAAUAGGUCCUCCACAUUCACUUCUAAAGUGGCCAAUAAGCUCAUAUAAACAUACAACUCACCAAGAGAACAUAUAAACAUUCACAAAAUCAAAUAAUUAUUCAUCAGGGAAAUAUAAAUGAAAAUUACAAGAAAUACUAGUUUGUAACCACUAGGCUGGUGACAAUGAAAAAGAUAAUAAAAAGUAGUGGCUAGGGUUUGAAGAAAUUAGAACCCUCCUAAGCUGCUGCUAAGAAUUUCAAUGAGGCAGCCAGUUUGGAAAAUAGUCUCUCAGUUCCACAAUAACUUAAGCAUAGAGUGACUAUAUGGGAUUGUGUAUGUCCUAGGGACAUGUACAAGAGAAAUAUGUGUAUGAAUAUAAAUACAUUACUGAUAGCAGUAAAAAAGAAAACAGCUUAAGUCUCCAUCAACCUAUGAAUAGAAAAAGUAUAGUUUAAUCCCAAAAGAGAACAUUAUUCAUCAAUAAGAGAGUUGAAGUACUAAUAUAUUCUAUGACAUAGAUUAGCCUUGAAAAUACUAUGCUAAGUGAAAGAAGUCCAUUAUGAAAAGUCACAUGAUAUAAAAUUCUGUUUUGAGAAUACGUCCAUAGCAAACAAACUGAUACAAGGUGCUUAGAGUUUCUUUUCAAGUUGAAAAAUAUAUUCUGAAAUUUGUUGUUGUGAAGGUUGUACAAUCCUGAAUAUAUAAGCAACCAGUGAACUGACACUUGGAAUGUGUGAAUUUUAUAUAGGUGACUUAUAUAUCAAUAUAAUCAUUGUAAAAUAAGGUCAAAUAUUUUGUAAUUUUUUGU
rnacentral:lncRNA from 1 species